rnacentral:miRNA from 1 species
AAAAAAAAAUAAAAAAUCUA